GAAACACACAAACAAAAACACUAGGUUAAAUUUUAACCAAGGAUUAGCCUUAGCUUAGAACAACCGACACCAGGUCAACCUACAAAUAUUAAGGCGCUAUAUUUAAAGCUUGGUGAGACCAAAUAGACGACUAUAUAGACCCAAUACUGAAGUAAACAUAUCAUUUUACAGUCGACAAUCAAAUGUUGUAGCCGUAAACUGUAGCAAAAUACUGAUAACAGUUUUAAACAGAG